ACAGAGGGGGCAAGCGUUGCUCGGAAUUACUGGGCGUAAAGGGUGCGUAGGCGGUUCGUUAAGUCUGUCGUGAAAUCCCCGGGCUCAACCUGGGAAUGGCGAUGGAUACUGGCUCGCUAGAGUGCGGUAGAGGAGAGUGGAAUUCCCGGUGUAGCAGUGAAAUGCGUAGAGAUCGGGAGGAACAUCAGUUGCGAAGGCGGCUCUCUGGACCAGCACUGACACUGAGGCACGAAAGCGUGGGGAGCAAACAGGA
rnacentral:rRNA from 1 species